GGAAACUGUCAGAUACUAGAAAAAAAACACGGAUACAGCUCUCCUACCCCACGUCGGGUCAAAUCGAAUGCGGAUCUGGCGAACAGAAAAUUGUCUACACCGCGAUAGACUCGUGGAUUACCGUCUCUCUCGUCCUUCAGUUUUGGCUUACAACCUACUUAUCCUCUUCUUCUCACAAAAGUCUUCCGCAUCUCCACCUUCCUCCGGCGAUCUCUUGCCCAGCCACGGCGGAGAUGGUGCCCAAGCGUGUAUUCAUGGCCAUGUGACAUGGGGAAAGAGAAGGCGGUCGCCGUGAAGGAACCGAGGCUUAGGCCGUGCAUGUGCCCAUGAGACUACAGCGCAUAUGCGAGGGGGCUGAUUCCUUAGGCGUCCAUGGCAUGAACCUUGGUUUAUGCUUCAAGAUCUAAAGCAAUCAUGACGUCGGUAUGAACAUAAAUCGCCCAACUUAAAUGAGAUUCGCCCUGACGGAGCUUUGAAUUAACUCUUUCCUGAUGAACUCCGGCGAGCUCUUUUGCAUGAAGCCGACGUGGCCGUGAGGAUGUCCGUGAGCCGUGCAUCUUCCUCUCGGAAUUCCUCUCCUCCUCUGGAAAGUCCUGCCCAACUCCACAUAGCUUCCUCCGGUGAGCUCUUGCUCAGCCACGGCCGAGGCGACCGGGAUGAAAGUCCCAAGGCAUAUGCUUGACGUUCAUGUGACAUGGAGAAUGAGAGGCUGUGCCGGACUAUGUAUGUUGGUUGUCCUCUGCACCUCUUUCUUCUAGUGAAUCCCCGGCGAGUCCUGUUCAUGCCCGGCGAGGUGGCUGAGAUGGUGUCCGAGGCAUAGGCCCGUGCAUGUGCCUCUGGGACUACGGCGCGCAAGUCACGAGGCUGAAUCCUCAAGUGUUCAUGGGACGAACCAGAGUUUAUGGAGACGGGAGAGGAGGCACGGUGGUCCAAGUUAAUAAUCAACCGUUGGCAAGGCAACUCACGGCUUGAAGAGGCUCGACAGAUGCAUGAUUAGUUCUUGUUCCAAGAUAUUUGCCUUGUCAAGCCAAUUCAGGGAUAUAAGUCUGUUGGCAAAGACGCUCCUUCUGGAAGCCUGCCCGACGAACAACUUGAGGCUGAGUGCAGAGAGGUGCUGCAUGUCUCUUAUCUGAUUCCAGGCCAACCGGUGCCUGACCAUGGAUUGAUUGAAACACGCGUGGGUGAUGUCACAAUGUGAAUACUGAGAUAUUCUAACGGGCCCGAUAAUCCACUUUGAAAACUCGGCCCACCAAAACAAGCCAGCCCAGGUGGAUAUAACCACUCUCGCUGUGGUCAACUACUUAACUCCAUGCUCGGUCUCCUCCCCCCAUUUUCCGCAUCAUUAACCCUAGGCCAAAGGAGGCUGGCGGCUGGCGGCUGGCGACUGGGCAGGACCGUCGAGAAGCUAGCGGCUGGAAACGAGGGUUCAUUGAAGAUGGCAAACGUUCUGCUAGCUGGUCUCCGCGGAGCAAAGCAGCUGGGGAAGAACUUAGGGUCUGCAUACAGAUCACUUUCAUCAGGAUCGUCUCCAAAAUGGGUCGAGCCCGGCUAUGACUUCGGUCGUAAACGUUUUGGGCCAGAUUACGGGGUUACCACCUCAGUUGGUCAAUACGGAUUGCCCAAGUCUGUGGAUUGGAGAGAUGUUCCUUGGGUUCAAAUCCCAGUGAAAAGUCGUUUGAACAGUGGCUCUUCCUAUAUUCAGGCAUCCCUUAUGAGUAUCGAAAGCCUUGUUUCCAUAACAAGUACAAUUCCCAUCGAAUUGUCUGCCCAGCAUAUCCUUGAUGCGAAUACGAUAACUAAUUUUGGAUGCAAGAGUGGAACUGCACCUAACGUAUUCGAUUUUAUCAUGAGGAAUGGGGGAGUAGUUGCAGAGUAUGCUUAUCCUUAUACUGGGAACAGGGGCAUUUGCCAGAAUAUUCAGGCUGAAGGAGUCACCAUUGAGAGUUGGAUAAACGUCCGUCCAGUGGAAGAAGCUUUAAUGUAUGCAGUGGCCCAUCAGCCAGUUGUUGUCAGAGUCGCUGUGGGGAAAGAGUUUGCUAAUUAUUCAACUGGCACUAUCAAAGUCCCAGAAGACCAUGGAAAGACAAAUCAGUCAAUGCUGCUCAUUGGAUAUAACGAAGCUGACUGGUUAUUACUGAAUUCAAAGGGUAAGCGGUGGGGCAUGGAAGGUGCUUGUUGGAUCCCGAGGAAGUCACCAAAUAUUGAUGGAGCUAUUGGAAUUCUAUCUUCGGCCUGUCUUCCACUGAAUCCAUCUUUUGUGUCUGUCACAACGAGAACAGAAAGUUGCCCGCUGCAUUGGAUUGGCAAGAAAUCUCCUUGAAUGAGUGGUGUCAAGGCACACAAGCACACUUUGCUGAAGCAUGGCUGUGGAUUGCUUGGAACUCUCGUAAUUCGACAUUUUGUUGUAAGUUGGGAGUGUGGUUGGCCUGUGUUGGCACAUUGUGGCAAAAUUGGACCACUGCUAGCAUUUAAUACUUGAUUGCUUGGAGGUCUCAUAAUUCGACAUUUUGUUGUAAGUUGGCAGUCUGGUUGGCCUGUGUUGGCACAUUGUGGCAAAAUUGGACUCUGGUUUGGCCUGUGUUGGCUGAGCUUUUGCUGCUUGGUUAUGUGGAGCAAUGCAUGAUGUGCCUCAUCCUUGGUUGAGGUUGUAAAUAUUCUGGGAGUCGAUCUGUAGCUUGGAUGCUAUAGUGUAAGUUGAGUUCAUAUCUUUGGUGGUUUAAGCUUUACUCCCUCCGUCUCAUAAUAUAAAAACGUUUUUCAAACUAAC
rnacentral:rRNA from 1 species